rnacentral:rRNA from 1 species
UUAUUUCGAUGCAACGCGAAGAACCUUACCACUUCUUGACAUGGAGAUUAGAUCCUUCUUAACAGAAGGGCGCAGUUCGGCUGGAUCUCGCACAGGUGCUGCAUGGCUGUCGUCAGCUCGUGUCGUGAGAUGUUGGGUUAAGUCCCGCAACGAGCGUAACCCUCAUCCUUAGUUGCCAGCGGGUUAAGCCGGGCACUUUAAGGAGACUGCCAGUGGUAAACUGGAGGAAGGUGGGGAUGAUGUCAAGUCAGCACGGCCA